AAUGUAGAGUUGUUGGUGUGUGGCCCCUUAUGGGGCAUGUGCACGCUUCUUUUAUUCAUCCACACACACCUGGAACUUGUGAGACGGAUAGUAGCCCUCUCGGGGGCGAGGUCCGUCUGCUAUACAUAAACUCCAGUAUAUAAAUUUGAAUGUCAUUUGAUGUAACACAUCUAUAAACUAAGUUUCAACAACGGAUCUCUUGGCUCUCGCAUCGAUGAAGAACGCAGCGAAAUGCGAUAAGUAAUGUGAAUUGCAGAAUUCAGUGAAUCAUCGAAUCUUUGAACGCACCUUGCGCUCCUUGGUAUUCCUCGGAGCAUGCCUGUUUGAGUAUCAUGAAAUCCUCAAAAUAAAUCUUUUGUUAAUUCAACUGGUUUACUUUGGACUUGGAGGUCUUUGCAGAUUUCACGUCUGCUCCUCUUAAAUGCAUUAGCUGGAUCUGUAUGAACUCGGUUCCACUCGGCGUGAUAAGUAUCACUCGCUGAGGACACUGUAAAAGGGGCCGGGAUUAUUAUGAACCGCUUCUUAAUAGUCCAUUGACUUGGACAAACUACUUAUGAUAUGAUCUCGAAUCAGGGGGAGUACCCAGGAACUCAA
rnacentral:rRNA from 1 species